rnacentral:rRNA from 1 species
UACGUAGGGGGCAAGCGUUGUCCGGAUUCAUUGGGCGUAAAGAGCUCGUAGGCGGUUCGAUAAGUCGGGUGUGAAACCUCCAGGCUCAACCUGGAGACGCCACCCGAUACUGUCGUGACUAGAGUCCAGUAGGGGAGCGUGGAAUUCCUGGUGUAGCGGUGAAAUGCGUAGAUAUCGGGAGGAACACCAGUGGCGAAGGCGACUACCUGGCCCAUUCUUGACGCUGAGGCGCGAAAGCUAGGGGAGCGAACGGG